rnacentral:rRNA from 1 species
GAUGAACGCUGGCGGCGUGCUUAACACAUGCAAGUCGAACGAAGCACUUUAUUUGAUUUCCUUCGGGACUGAUUAUUUUGUGACUGAGUGGCGGACGGGUGAGUAACGCGUGGGUAACCUGCCUUGUACAGGGGGAUAACAGCUGGAAACGGCUGCUAAUACCGCAUAAGCGCACGGCAUCCCCUGACGCAGUGUGGAAAACUCCGGUGGUAUAAGAUGGACCGGCGUUGGAUUAUCAGGUUGGUGCGGUAACGGCCUAGCAAGGCGAGGAUCCAUAGCCGAGCUGAGAGGGUGACCGCAGACAUUGGAAGUGAGACGCAGCCCAAACUACUAGGGGAGGGAGCAGUGGGGAAUAUUGCAAAAUGGGCGAUAGCCUGAUGGAGCGACGCCGGGUGAGCGAAGAAGGAUUUCAGUAUGUAAAGCUCGAUCAGCAGGUACGAUAAUGACGUUACCUGACUAAGAAGCACCGGCUAAAUACGUG